UCCGCAAUGCUCCAAUUGAUCGGCUAGUCGGCCAGUCUUAGAGUCAGCUUCGACCGCAGUCCCUUGCAAGUCAACAAAUCACCAUGAAGGCCUCGCUAUCAUUUCUCGCGGUUCUAGCCAUUGUGGCUCUGUCACAAGCUGCUCCUGCCCCCGAUGCUGAAGACACGAUAAAGAAUGCAGGAAAAAGUAUCGGUGACGCAUUCUCCUCAGCCUGGGACUCGAUCAAAUCUGGAGCAGAGACCGUAGCAGACCAGACUAAAUCGGGAGCUGAGAGUGUCUGGGACAAAACGAAAGAAGGAGCGACGUCCCUCGGCAAGUCGAUUUCCGAUGGCGCGUCCAAUCUCGCCGAGAAGACCAAAGACACAGUUGGUUGAAAGCAUGACCCACCUCACAGAAUCUUGACUGAAGGAUCAUCGUCGAGCGGGAAGCGAAAAGCAAUGCACAAAUAAAGAAUAUGUCUCUGGGACGACUACA